AGCGAACGCUGGCGGCAGGCCUAACACAUGCAAGUCGAACGGAUCCUUCGGGAUUAGUGGCGGACGGGUGAGUAACACGUGGGAACGUGCCCUUUGGUUCGGAACAACUCAGGGAAACUUGAGCUAAUACCGGAUGUGCCCUUCGGGGGAAAGAUUUAUCGCCAUUGGAGCGGCCCGCGUCUGAUUAGCUAGUUGGUGAGGUAAAGGCUCACCAAGGCGACGAUCAGUAGCUGGUCUGAGAGGAUGAUCAGCCACAUUGGGACUGAGACACGGCCCAAACUCCUACGGGAGGCAGCAGUGGGGAAUCUUGCGCAAAGGGCGAAAGCCUGGCGCAGCCAUGCCGCGUGAAUGAUGAAGGUCUUAGGAUCGUAAAAUUCUUUCACCGGGGACGAUAAUGACGGUACCCGGAGAAGAAGCCCCGGCUAACUUCGUGCCAGCCGCCGCGGUAA
rnacentral:rRNA from 1 species